rnacentral:rRNA from 1 species
AACGAACGCUGGCGGCAGGCUUAACACAUGCAAGUCGAACGCCCCGCAAGGGGAGUGGCAGACGGGUGAGUAACGCGUGGGAACAUACCCUUUCCUGCGGAAUAGCUCUGGGAAACUGGAAUUAAUCCCGCAUACGCCCUACGGGGGAAAGAUUUAUCGGGGAAGGAUUGGCCCGCGUUGGAUUAGCUAGUUGGUGGGGUAAAGGCCUACCAAGGCGACGAUCCAUAGCUGGUCGGAGAGGAUGAUCAGCCACAUUGGGACUGAGACACGGCCCAAACUCCUACGGGAGGCAGCAGUGGGGAAUAUUGGACAAUGGGCGCAAGCCUGAUCCAGCCAUGCCGCGUGAGUGAUGAAGGCCUUAGGGUUGUAAAGCUCUUUCACCGAUGAAGAUAAUGACGGUAGUCGGAGAAGAAGCCCCGGCUAACUUCGUGCCAGCCGCCGCGGUAAAAC